rnacentral:rRNA from 1 species
AUACGGAGGGUGCAAGCGUUAAUCGGAAUUACUGGGCGUAAAGCGCGCGUAGGCGGUUUGGUCAGUUGGAUGUGAAAGCCCCGGGCUUAACCUGGGAACUGCAUUCAAUACUGCCAAACUAGAGUACGGGAGAGGGGGGUAGAAUUUCUAGUGUAGCGGUGAAAUGCGUAGAUAUUAGAAGGAAUACCAGUGGCGAAGGCGGCCCCCUGGCUCGAUACUGACGCUGAGGUGCGAAAGCGUGGGUAGCAAACGGGAUUAGAUACCCUAGUAGUCC